rnacentral:rRNA from 1 species
CUUGACGACCAUAGAGCAUUGGAACCACCUGAUCCCAUCCCGAACUCAGUAGUGAAACGAUGCAUCGCCGAUGGUAGUGUGGGGUUUCCCCAUGUGAGAGUAGGUCAUCGUCAAGCGCCUAACACCAAACCCCCAAUCGGCUUGC